UCCGUGCCCAGCAGCCGCGGUAAUACGGAGGGUGCUAGUGUUAAUCGGAAUUACUGGGCGUAAAGCGCACGCAGGCGGUCUGUCAAGUCAGAUGUGAAAUCCCCCGGGCUUAACCUGGGAACUGCAUUUGAAACUGGCAGGCUAGAGUCUGUAGAGGGGGGUAGAACUCCAGGUGUAGCGGUGAAAUGCGUAGAGAUCUGGAGGAAUACCGGUGGCGAAGGCGGCCCCCUGGACAAAGACUGACGCUCAGGUGCGAAAGCGUGGGGAGCAAACAGGAUUACCACCCUGGUAGUCCACGCCGUAAACGAUGUCGACUUGGAGGUUGUGCCCUUGAGGCGUGGCUUCCGGAGCUAACGCGUUAAGUCGACCGCCUGGGGAGUACGGCCGCAAGGUUAAAACUCAAAUGAAUUGACGGGGGCCCGCACAAGCGGUGGAGCAUGUGGUUUAAUUCGAUGCAACGCGAAGAACCUUACCUGGCCUUGACAUCCACGGAAUUCGGCAGAGAUGCCUUAGUGCCUUCGGGAACCGUGAGACAGGUGCUGCAUGGCUGUCGUCAGCUCGUGUUGUGAAAUGUUGGGUUAAGUCCCGCAACGAGCGCAACCCUUAUCCUUUGUUGCCAGCGAGUAAUGUCGGGAACUCAAAGGAGACUGCCGGUGACAAACCGGAGGAAGGUGGGGAUGACGUCAAGUCAUCAUGGCCCUUACGGCCAGGGCUACACACGUGCUACAAUGGCGCAUACAAAGAGAAGCGAACUCCAGCGAGUAGCUAAGCGGACCUGGGCACAAAGUGCGUCGUAGUCCGGAUCGGAGGUCUGCAACUCGACUCCGUAGAAGUUAUGCGGWAUCAGCUACCGUUAUCAGUAGUUAUCASMAUSCUACRGGCAAUACGUUCCCRGRCCUUGUACACACCGCCCGYCACWCGUCACCGGAGAGGGUUGCAAAAGAAG
rnacentral:rRNA from 1 species